rnacentral:rRNA from 1 species
GUAGGUGGCAAGCGUUGUCCGGGAAUUAUUGGGCGUAAAGCGCGCGCAGGCGGUUCUUUAAGUCUGAUGUGAAAGCCCACGGGCUCAACCGUGGAGGGUCAUUGGGAACUGGAGAACUUGAGUACAGAAGAGGAAAGCGGAAUUCCACGUGUAGCGGUGAAAUGCGUAGAGAUGUGGAGGAACACCAGUGGCGAAGGCGGCUUUCUGGUCUGUAACUGACGCUGAGGCGCGAAAGCGUGGGGAGCAAACAGGAUUAGAUACCCUGGUAGUCCACGCCGUAAACGAUGAGUGCUAAGUGUUAGGGGGUUUCCGCCCCUUAGUGCUGCAGCUAACGCAUUAAGCACUCCGCCUGGGGAGUACGGCCGCAAGGCCG